AUUGAACGCUGGCGGCAGGCCUAACACAUGCAAGUCGAGCGGAUGAGGGGAGCUUGCUCCCUGAUUUAGCGGCGGACGGGUGAGUAAUGUAUAGGGAGCUGCCCGAUAGAGGGGGAUACCAGUUGGAAACGACUGUUAAUACCGCAUAAUGUCUACGGACCAAAGUGUGGGACCUUCGGGCCACAUGCUAUCGGAUGCACCUAUAUGGGAUUAGCUAGUUGGUGGGGUAACGGCUCACCAAGGCGACGAUCCCUAGCUGGUUUGAGAGGAUGAGCAGCCACACUGGAACUGAGACACGGUCCAGAAUCCUACGGGAGGCAGCAGUGGGGAAUAUUGGACAAUGGGCGCAAGCCUGAUCCAGCCAUGCCGCGUGUGUGAAGAAGGCCUUCGGGUUGUAAAGCACUUCCAGCGAGGAGGAAGGGAUGUAUGUUAAUAGCAUGCAUUUUUGACGUUACUCGCAGAAGAAGCACCGGCUAACUCUGUGCCAGCCGCCGCCGUAAUAC
rnacentral:rRNA from 1 species